rnacentral:rRNA from 1 species
GUGGGGAAUAUUGGGCAAUGGGCGAAAGCCUGACCCAGCAACGCCGCGUGAAGGAAGAAGGUCUUCGGAUCGUAAACUUCUAUCCUUGGUGAAGAUAAUGACGGUAGCCGAGAAGGAAGCCCCGGCUAACUACGUGCCAGCAGCCGCGGUAAUACGUAGGGGGCAAGCGUUGUCCGGAAUGAUUGGGCGUAAAGGGCGCGUAGGCGGCCUGGUAAGUCUGGAGUGAAAGUCCUGCUUUUAAGGUGGGAAUUGCUUUGGAGACUGUCGGGCUUGAGUGCAGGAGAGGUAAGUGGAAUUCCCGGUGUAGCGGUGAAAUGCGUAGAGAGCGGGAGGAACACCAGUGGCGAAGGCGACUUACUGGACUGUAACUGACGCUGAGGCGCGAAAGUGUGGGGAGCAAACAGGAUUAGAAACCCCAGUAGUCC